rnacentral:tRNA from 1 species
GCCUGGAUGGCUCAGUCGGUUGGGCAUCUGACUCUAGAUCAGGUCAUGAUCUCAAGUUCCAGGUA